GAGUUUGAUCCUGGCUCAGAACGAACGCUGGCGGCGUGCUUAACUCAUGCAAGUCGAACGUGAUUGAGAGCUUGCUCUCAUGAAAGUGGCGCACGGGUGAGUAACACGUGGAUAAUCUGCCUGGCGAUUCGGGAUAACACUUCGAAAGGGGUGCUAAUACCGGAUAAGCCCACGGUCUCUUCGGAGAGUGCGGGAAAAGGGGGCCUCUGUAUAUGCUCCUGUCGCUAGAUGAGUCCGCGGCCCAUUAGCUAGUUGGUAGGGUAAUGGCCUACCGAGGCUACGAUGGUUAGCUGGUCKGAGAGGAUGAUCCGCCACACUGGAACUGAAACACGGACCAGACUCCUACGGGAGGCAGCAGUGAGGAAUAUUGGACAAUGGGCGAAAGCCUGAUCCAGCGACGCCGCGUGAGUGAUGAAGGCCUUUGGGUCGUAAAGCUCUGUCAGCAGGGAAGAAUGGCCGAGCGGUUAAUACCCGUUCGGAUUGACGGUACCUGCAGAGGAAGCACCGGCUAACUCCGUGCCAGCAGCCGCGGUAAUAC
rnacentral:rRNA from 1 species